GCGGGCGUAGCUCAGUGGUAGAGCGACGCGUUCCCAACGCGUAGGUCGCGAGUUCAAGCCUCGUCGCCCGCU
rnacentral:tRNA from 1 species